GCACUCGUAGCUCAAUUGGAUAGAGCACUUGACUACGGAUCAAGAGGUUGAGGGUUCGAAUCCUUCCGAGUGCGCCA
rnacentral:tRNA from 1 species